rnacentral:rRNA from 1 species
CAGUCGCCGCGGGAAUACGUAGGUGGCAAGCGUUGUCCGGAAUUAUUGGGCGUAAAGGGCUCGCAGGCGGUUUCUUAAGUCUGAUGUGAAAGCCCCCGGCUCAACCGGGGAGGGUCAUUGGAAACUGGGAAACUUGAGUGCAGAAGAGGAGAGUGGAAUUCCACGUGUAGCGGUGAGAUGCGUAGAGAUGUGGAGGAACACCAGUGGCGAAGGCGACUCUCUGGUCUGUAACUGACGCUGAGGAGCGAAAGCGUGGGGAGCGAACAGGAUUAGAUACCCCCGUAGUCCCUGUCUCUUAUAC